CUUAGCUCAGUUGGUUAGAGCAAAACACUCAUAAUGUUGAGGUCGAAGGUUCAAGUCCUCCAGG
rnacentral:tRNA from 1 species